UGAGAAAGAAAAUUAUCAUAAAAGUUGUUAAAAAAUGAUUGUACAAAUAUCAUUUCUCUUUUAUUUUGGUUUGGAUUAAGAGAUUUAUUUUAAAAGAUACAAUUAUUGGAUGCUAGUAAAAAAUUAAAUGGCAACUCGCGAUGUAACAACAAGGUAUAUUGCAUAGAUUUUUUGCUAGUGCAAGAACUCACUCCUCCUUGCACGACGUUUGUGUACCCUCCAGGGCAUGAUACUUAUAUCAAACGUUGACUUGAUUGUUCAUAUACACAUAUGUUGUUAAUGCACUUAUAAACUAUAGGUAACAAGUUGAAAAGGUCCAUACAAUCAAUCGCACUUACACAUUUAAUUUUUACUGCAAUGAAAGAAGAGAAUAAAAUAAUGUUACUAAAACGAUAUAAAAUAUCAUUUGCGAACUACAUAUUUAAGAAAGAAAUUUGAAAAUGAUUUUAAAAAAAAUGCUUACCAUCAUCCCCCUUGGCAACAAGAAAUAGGGAAAAAAAUAAAAUCAUAACAUAAACAAAUUGUAGAGUUCUAGCCAUUUUUAUUUUUUAU
rnacentral:lncRNA from 1 species